GCGUGCUGCGUGCUUCUUGCUGCCUGCUGCGUGGUCCGUGCCCUGUGGAAUGUGCCAGCCGACGAAGUCGCGCUCACUUCCGUCGGAGUUGUUAUCAACUCUGGGAACUCCGCGCGGGAACUUCAGGUGGAUUACAGCUCACGAUCCGCACCAACGCCCAACCAAAGAGUAUGGAUCUACAUAGGGAGCGAGUGAGCCUGGUAGAUUUGUCGGAAAGUAUAUAACAGGUUUUGCAACGCAACGCAAAAGGUUUGAAAGGAUAACGGGCGAGAAGGUGCUAAACCCUUUGACUCAACCGA